GCAGGGGAUCCGGAUGCGAGGAAGGAGAGAGCGGAUGUGAUGUCAACAAUAAGCACAACAGUAUAUUCCAGCGGACGAUUUGGUGUUUGAGGACUGAUAUGGUGUUAAUCUCUUGUUGAGUUAUUCACAGGGGCCUUAUCGUUCACUGGCGUGACAAGCAUGUUCCCUGCUUCUUGCUCGCUCUCUUCGCAACAGCCGAACCUGGCUUUUUGAAGGCUCCUCAACCGAAGAUCACCACUAUCUGGUCCCAGAAAUCGUGAAAAGUCCCCGGCAGCUGCGUUUACUCAUUGCCAGUAUGAUGUUGGCUUCUAAAAUCUAACACCCGCGGGCUUAGCGUUGGUAGCUUCUUGCUCCGUCCAUCCUUUUGGAGUUCAUCGUGUUUAUUCCGUUUAAGACGAGUUCAAAAGGUGCUUUCCAAUUGAUGGCUUCAUCUUUUGCUGUACGUAAUAGGAUUUAUAUUCAUUUAUGCUCAUACAAUGCGACUACUCGCAACAAUUGCCCAUGUUAAUAAUUUUCAAAAUAUAUUUCUGAGUUGGCAUAGUGAUGGUAUUCGAAGAGCUGAGCUGCAAUCUGUUUAUACAUAUGAGUGAUGAAGUGAAAAGAAGAAAGUGAAUAUCUUUACCCCCAUGUA